rnacentral:misc_RNA from 1 species
AACUGAUACUACCUGCGGGAACCUGCGGAAGGAUCAUUACAGAGUUGUAAAACUCCCAAACCCAUGUGAACAUACCUCUGUUGCCUCGGUGGCCUACCCGGUAGCUACCCUGUAGUUACCCUGUAGACUGCCGGCGGACUUUAGAAACUCUUGUUUUUAGUGUAUCUCUGAGAACAACUUCAAAUAAGUUAAAACUUUUAACAAUGGAUCUCU